rnacentral:lncRNA from 1 species
CAGAGAUCUAAAAAUCCCCUGAGACCUUCCAGAGACCCCAAAAGCCCCAGAAACUCCAAGCUCCCCAGAGACUCCCCAAAACACCCAAGAGCCAAAACAUAUCCCAUCCCCCCUGCUUCACUCACUUGGGUCCGACUUGGAGAAGGUGUCCCUGUCCAGGAGCUGCCUGGGGAGCAAGGAGGAGUGAGUGUGAGUGUGCAUGCAUGUGUGUGUGUGUGUGUGAGUGAGUGUGAAUGUGAAUGUGAGCAUCUGGCUGUGUCUGUGACUGCGUGUACCCAUUAUGCAGUCAGAUGUGCCGCAGAACACACGCUGAGGUGCACAGCCUCAGGUCGUGCCCUCUUGUGUGAGAGGGUGCAUGGCAGGGUGUGAGCAACCAGGUGUGCCCCACGACAUGGAUUGUGGUGCAAAGCAUGUUUGACACAUGUUGGGGGGCCAUGCGCUGGGGGCUCAACCAUGUGUCAGGGUGCACAGCAGGGCAUUGAGCAUCUCAGUGCAUUCCAGUACAUCUCAGCAAUUCACACCACCAACUGCUCUCUCUCUCCGGUGCAUUCCAGUGCAUCUCAGGGGACCUCAGUGCAUCACAGUGCACCCUGGCAUCCUUCGACGGCAGCUGCUGCGGCACUCCAGUGCCUCCCGAUGCAUCUCAUUGCGCUCCAGUGCAACCCAGUGCCCUACAACGCCAACUGCUCCCAACUCUCCAAUGCUUCCCAGUCUAUUCCACGGGAUCUCAGUGCCUCCCAAUGUACCUCAGCACCCUCCAAUGCCGCUCCCCAGUGCUUCCCAGUGCCUCUCUGUGAAUCCCAGCACCCUCCAACGGCAGCUACCCCUACACCACAGUCACCACAGUGCAACCCAGUGCCUCCCAGCACCUUCCAACGCCAGCAGCAGCGCCUCCCUGCGCCCCCGCCGCCCGGUGCCGGCUCCCGCCGCGGCCCCGCUACCUGCAGGACACUGUGAGUUCCACGCGAGUGGCCGGGACAGCACCGGGGCCGGUGCCCGGUUCCGAGGCACCCAGGCCCGCCAUGCCCCGGGCUCCGUCGCUGCCCCGACACCGGCACUAGCACUGCGAUCGCGAUCGGCUCCGCCUCGGGACCGCCCUUGGCACCGCCCGGGGCUCCCGGUACCGGCUCCGGCCCCACACCGAGGGACUGCCCCGGGGUCUUCUUCGGGACCGCCUGCCGGGAGAUCGGGACCGCCCUUGGCACCGCCCGCGGCUUCUGGCACCGGUCCUGGCCCCGCGCCGAGGGAGUGCCCCGGGCUCUUCUUCGCGACCCCUGUCGGGAGACCGUGACCGGCUCGGGACCGCCCCCAGAUCCCCGGUACCGCCUCCGGGAUCGCCCCCGGGGCCGGCUCCCCUUCUCCGGUACUACCAUGGACCCUCGAUACUGCCCCUGGGAUCUCCCCGAAAUUUUCGGGAUCACCCCCAGAUUCCUGGGAUCUACCCUCGCACCACCUCCGGGCCUGCUUCCAAAUCCCCGGUACCACCCCGGCACCUCCCCGGCCCGAAGGACCCCACCGGCUCCGCCUCGGAAAUGCCGCCAAAUCUCCGGGAUGGCCCCCGCAUCAACUCCAGGGCCGCCUCCAUAGCCCGGUUCCCCCCGGAAGCCCGGUCCUGUCCCCGGGAUCCCCCUCAGAUUCCCGGGAUCGCUCCGGCAUCAAGGCCAAAUCCCUUGUACCAAAUCCCUUGUACCUCCCCCGACCACCGGUACCUCCCUCGCAUUGCCCGCGGGGCCGCCUCCUCAUUCCCGAUACCGCCUCGGACCACCGGUACUGUGCCCGGGAUAGCUCCCAGAUCCCCAGCAUCACCCCCAGAUCCCCGGCAUCAGUCUGAGAAAGGCCAGUGCCUUCCCCCGCAUCGUCACCAGCGCUGCCUCCCCAUCCCCAGUGCCCCCCGGACACGGGUACCAAGGAUCAGACCUGGGAUCGCCCCAAGAUCACGGCUACCGCCCCGAAGCUGCCUCCAGACCCUGGUACACCAUGGACGAUUGGUAGCGCCCCCG